GACGAACGCUGGCGGCGUGCUUAAUACAUGCAAGUCGAACGGAAAGGCCCUGCUUUUGUGGGGUGCUCGAGUGGCGAACGGGUGAGUAACACGUGAGUAACCUGCCCUUGACUUUGGGAUAACUUCAGGAAACUGGGGCUAAUACCGGAUAGGAGCUCCUGCUGCAUGGUGGGGGUUGGAAAGUUUCGGCGGUUGGGGAUGGACUCGCGGCUUAUCAGCUUGUUGGUGGGGUAGUGGCUUACCAAGGCUUUGACGGGUAGCCGGCCUGAGAGGGUGACCGGCCACAUGGGGACUGAGAUACGGCCCAGACUCCUACGGGAGGCAGCAGUGGGGAAUAUUGCACAAUGGGCGGAAGCCUGAUGCAGCAACGCCGCGUGCGGGAUGACGGCCUUCGGGUUGUAAACCGCUUUCGCCUGUGACGAAGCGUGAGUGACGGUAAUGGGUAAAGAAGCACCGGCUAACUACGUG
rnacentral:rRNA from 1 species